UAGGGAAUUUUCGUCAAUGGGGGCAACCCUGAACGAGCAAUGCCGCGUGAGCGAAGAAGGUCUUCGGAUUGUAAAGCUCUGUUGCCGGGGAAAAAGGAAGGAAAGA
rnacentral:rRNA from 1 species